CUAGCGGCAGGCUUAACACAUGCAAGUCGAGGGGUAUAGGGAGCUUGCUUCCUAGAGACCGGCGCACGGGUGCGUAACGCGUAUGCAAUCUACCUUUUACAGGGGGAUAGCCCAGAGAAAUUUGGAUUAAUACCCCAUGGUAUUAUGGAAUGGCAUCAUUCUGUAAUUAAAGUCACAACGGUAAAAGAUGAGCAUGCGUCCCAUUAGCUAGUUGGUAAGGUAACGGCUUACCAAGGCGACGAUGGGUAGGGGUCCUGAGAGGGAGAUCCCCCACACUGGUACUGAGACACGGACCAGACUCCUACGGGAGGCAGCAGUGAGGAAUAUUGGACAAUGGGCGCAAGCCUGAUCCAGCCAUGCCGCGUGCAGGAUGACGGUCCUAUGGAUUGUAAACUGCUUUUGUACAGGAAGAAACCCUUUCACGUGUGGAAGAUUGACGGUACUGUAAGAAUAAGGAUCGGCUAACUCCGUGCCAGCAGCCGCGGUAAUACGGAGGAUCCAAGCGUUAUCCGGAAUCAUUGGGUUUAAAGGGUCCGUAGGCGGUCUGGUAAGUCAGUGGUGAAAGCCCAUCGCUCAACGGUGGAACGGCCAUUGAUACUGCCAGACUUGAAUUACUAGGAAGCAACUAGAAUAUGUAGUGUAGCGGUGAAAUGCUUAGAUAUUACAUGGGAAUACCAAUUGCGAAGGCAGGUUGCUACCUGGUGGAUUGACCCCUGAUGGA
rnacentral:rRNA from 1 species